AUUAUCAAAGUUACCCCAAAACAGAAAACCAACUUUCGAUUAUAUGAAAAAUUAGGUAUCCAUUCAAAAUAAAUCUUAUGGCAAUCUAUCGGCUGCAAUCGAUAGCAAGGAUGCCAGCACUUGUUUUAAAAAUAUAAAUUAUAAUUAU